rnacentral:rRNA from 1 species
UGCCCUGUGACUAUAAGUUUAACGGCCGCGGUAUUUUGACCGUGCGAAGGUAGCGCAAUCACUUGUCUCUUAAAUGGAGACCUGUAUGAAUGGCAUAACGAGGGCUUAACUGUCUCCUCUUUCAAGUCAAUGAAAUUGAUCUCCCCGUGCAGAAGCGGGGAUAAUUACAUAAGACGAGAAGACCCUAUGAAGCUUUAGAUAUAAGACAGAUCAUGUUAAACCCCCCCUGAUAAGGGACUAAACCAAAUGAGCCCUGUCCCAAUGUCUUUGGUUGGGGCGACCGCGGGGAAACAAAAAACCCCCACGUGGAAUGGGAGCAC